rnacentral:rRNA from 1 species
GGUUUAAGGUGGUAGGCUGGAAUCUUAGGUAAAUCCGGGAUUCUAAGGCCGAGAGCUGAUGACGAGUGUUCUUUUAGAACACGAAGUGGUUGAUGCCAUGCUUCCAAGAAAAGCUUCUAAGCUUCAGGUAACCAGGAACCGUACCCCAAACCGACACAGGUGGUUGGGUAGAGAAUACCAAGGCGCUUGAGAGAACUCGGGUGAAGGAACUAGGCAAAAUGGCACCGUAACUUCGGGAGAAGGUGCGCCGGUGAGGGUGAAGCAUUUACUGCGUAAGCCCAUGCCGGUCGAAGAUACCAGGCCGCUGCGACUGUUUAUUAAAAACACAGCACUCUGCAAACACGAAAGUGGACGUAUAGGGUGUGACGCCUGCCCGGUGCCGGAAGGUUAAUUGAUGGGGUUAGCUAACGCGAAGCUCUUGAUCGAAGCCCCGGUAAACGGCGGCCGUAACAAUAACGGUCCUAAGGUAGCGAAAUUCCUUGUCGGGUAAGUUCCGACCUGCACGAAUGGCGUAACGAUGGCGGCGCUGUCUCCACCCGAGACUCAGUGAAAUUGAAAUCGCUGUGAAGAUGCAGUGUAUCCGCGGCUAGACGGAAAGACCCCGUGAACCUUUACUAUAGCUUUGCACUGGACUUUGAAUUUGCUUGUGUAGGAUAGGUGGGAGGCUUUGAAGCGUGGACGCCAGUUCGCGUGGAGCCAACCUUGAAAUACCACCCUGGCAACUUUGAGGUUCUAACUCAGGUCCGUUAUCCGGAUCGAGGACAGUGUAUGGUGGGUAGUUUGACUGGGGCGGUCUCCUCCUAAAGAGUAACGGAGGAGUACGAAGGUGCGCUCAGACCGGUCGGAAAUCGGUCGUAGAGUAUAAAGGCAAAAGCGCGCUUGACUGCGAGACAGACACGUCGAGCAGGUACGAAAGUAGGUCUUAGUGAUCCGGUGGUUCUGUAUGGAAGGGCCAUCGCUCAACGGAUAAAAGGUACUCCGGGGAUAACAGGCUGAUACCGCCCAAGAGUUCAUAUCGACGGCGGUGUUUGGCACCUCGAUGUCGGCUCAUCACAUCCUGGGGCUGAAGCCGGUCCCAAGGGUAUGGCUGUUCGCCAUUUAAAGUGGUACGCGAGCUGGGUUUAGAACGUCGUGAGACAGUUCGGUCCCUAUCUGCCGUGGACGUUUGAGAUUUGAGAGGGGCUGCUCCUAGUACGAGAGGACCGGAGUGGACGAACCUCUGGUGUUCCGGUUGUCACGCCAGUGGCAUUGCCGGGUAGCUAUGUUCGGAAUAGAUAACCGCUGAAAGCAUCUAAGCGGGAAACUAGCCUCAAGAUGAGAUCUCACUGGGACCUUGAGUCCCCUGAAGGGCCGUCGAAGACUACGACGUUGAUAGGUUGGGUGUGUAAGCGCUGUGAGGCGUUGAGCUAACCAAUACUAAUUGCCCGUGAGGCUUGACCG